rnacentral:lncRNA from 1 species
AGUUGAUUUGUUUGAAAAUAAUUUGUAGAUGUAUAUAAUUGGUAUCGAAUUCCAUACUAAGGUUGUUUGUGACUGAUUUUUGUCUAAACAUAUAAUUGAGUUUUUUUUUCCGGUUAGUUAUAUCAUUUUUGUAUAUUUUACUGUUCGUUUUGUAUAUUAAAUAUAUUUUAUACAAUUUUAAAAAAAUGCACAAGUACCUUAGACCAUGAUCGAAUCAGAAGCACACCUUAACUAAACUAAGGUCUUAUUACUCUUCUAACUUAUUUUUUGGUAAUUUUGUGCAACUUUUUAGCUCACGUGGUAUCUAAUUAUCUUUCACGCAUCUCAAUUGCGUAAUGUCACGGUAUGUGCCACGUAAAUUAGUUCUGUUAUGUUAAUCAUUCUGAUUAUUUCUCAUUUUAUAUGAAUUGUUGUUGUUUUUUAUCCUCUUUAGAAUGAUUAUUUUUAUUAAUUUAAAUUUUGUGUAUGGUUAAUAAUUGAAAAAUCGAUCUGAACUAAACCAAAAUAAAUAACAAUCAAACCAAAUAAAUGAAUAUUAUACUUGGUUAGGUUUUGUUUUAAUAAAUCAAAAAUCGAAUAAAUUGAUUGGUUUUGUUUUCAACCAAUAACAUGUAGUGUCCCAUAUCUUGUAAAAUUGCGAAUUAGUCAUUUUACCUUCUCUUUGGCAAUUUCAUGCUUAAUUUGUGUUUCGAAAAUGAUUUAUGUGGUCCCAACCUAGUAGCUUAUUGCUGAAAAACGUUGCUAGGCUAGUCGUUAGACCUUACUGUGAUGUUAGCUUGUGGAGAGGCUUAUGUGAUACUGUUAACUGAUGUGCAAAGUCUGUGAUUCUUUAGAAAAUUGCCCGAGUUAGGGGCUUGAGUUGACUUAUGAACAUAUUAUAAUGAAAGAAAUGAUUUCAAAUGGAUUUCUCCACUAUCCAUAUCCUAACCUUUUGAUUUUGGGAAUUCGAUACUAUUUGCAAUUCUUAAAGAACUGAUUAUGCCUUGUGUUGUGAUGCAUGCAACUUUACGAGUUUCAAAAAAAAAGUAUGUGUUGUGAUGCAUUCCUCAUGAUGUAGCAUAUCAUUAUUUCAUGCAAAUAUGAAAAAGUGGAGUAGUACUGUCUUUUCAAGUAAAAAAUAUUGACACCUUACUUAUAUUAUUGACCACGCUGAGCUGGCAAGUUGCUUAUCUAACAAUGCAACUUGAAAAAAAUCUUAUGUUAUGUAUGAAGUGAGUUGAGCUUCAUGGAGAUCGUGCUGGCUGUGAUGAUCCAACCAUGGUGACUUACAUUGGGUGCAUUGAAGGUUGAAGUUAUCUCCUCAUUGGUCAUCAGAAAGAUUAUUGGAGAGUAUAUGCAGCAUUCAGUUGUUUGAAAGGAAUGUUCUUCACCUUGACGUUCAAAUAUUGAUUUGUUCAUUUAGAAUCUAUAGUCAUAAGGGCAUGUUUGGGCUGAAAGUUCCACAGUCCUAACUAAUGAAGGUGGUUCAAGCAGAGUUCUUGUCAUUGGAUGUGGUUAAUGUUCAACAUUUUAUGUUACUAGGUAAGUUUGGUUCAUUUGUACUUCUUCCAUAUUUUUGCUACUUAUCAGGCAUGUAACAAUAUGAAGAAAAAAGAAAAGUUCAAGUUUAAAAAUAAUUUAUCAACCAAAAACAUGUUUUAGCUUAAUAAUAUGGAUACAUUUUACGUAUGUUGCGCAUGGAUUUUUUAGUUGUUGCUUUUACACUUGUUGCAUUGUUUCCUUGAAUAUCUCCAUUUUUCUGUAUCUUUACAAAAUCUAUGCUUCUUUGAUCAGUCUUGUAGCUUGUGCUUCUAUAUUUUGAAAAUCUUUACAAGCAGGUCCAACCUCCAAAGAUACUAUAGUUGUUCAGGUUUGUGAAAAAGAUGGUUUAUCAGUACUAAAAUUCUGAUUGAAUAGGCAGCUGAUAGCUCAAGAACAUUAUAAACUUUGGGUAGCAGAUUCAAUUAUUCCAGUAAGUACCAUCUCUAUACUUAUUAAUUUGGUUUCGGAGUGGAAAAGAUUGGAACCUAUGGUAAAGGGUUGGUGAUGCCAAGUAGUGAGAAAGAAACAAUGUUUGGCUGGACUUUUGGAAGACGAAAGAAGAUGCAAAACAUAAGAUUAUCGCUCCCUUGUCACUUAUGUUGACAAAUGUUUUUGAUGAAGUAGAGAAGAAUUUUACAUAGUUCCUCAUCCCCUAUUUAUUUUUUGUGCACCACAAGUUUCUUGCUUCUUACAUGUAUAGAAGAUUGGAUUUAUUCGUAACUAUGCAUCUUUUGUAAGGUUGUCUAGAUUAUAUUUGAUAUUAUUCUUGUAAGGUGUUAUUGCCCUUCUUUUACUGUUG